rnacentral:lncRNA from 1 species
GAACUCUCUAUUACCUUUAGGGUCUCAUUUAUUUAUCUUGAUGCUUCUCUUUUUAUUUGGAAAGUUCAGAGUUCCUCACUGGUUCCUGCCUCAGUCAUCCUUGGGUGUUGCUGGCCAUGAGCUAUAGAUGACUGCUUUCAAAAUUCUCAGACUUGAGCCACACACAAUUGAAAGCCAUUUCCAGUUGCUUAGACCAUGCUUUCUUGCUUGCUGCUGAAUGAUUAACCUGCAGGAUUUCACAGGGAGUCAUUCCGGACCUGGGGAGGACAGCAAGCUUUUGUGGAGGAAAGAAAGAAAAUAGGUGGUGAGAUCUGGGACUUAGGAGACUGUCACAAGGAACCAUAUCAUUAAGACUAUUGUCUGAAAUAUUUAAUGAUCCGUUUGCCACUAACUCAGCUUCCAUCUCCUGUGAAAUGAACAUCCCUUCUUAUUGUGGCUUAAAUGACACAGCUCUAGUUUGACUGACAGUGUUUUCUUUAUAGGGAAUUUAAAUGGCAUUCCUUUGGGCUUAGCUAAUAAGCUUCGGAGAAUUUUUUUUGUGUGUGUGUGUGUGAGAGAGAGAGAGAGAGAGAGAGUGUGUUUCUUGUGUUUGUUCUUUUUUUUCUUGGGUCCUUGGAAUGAAAUUCUUGUCAGAAUCAAGAACAUUUGGAAAAUGGAUUCCUGUUGUUCAUUCUUUUACCUCCCAUCAAAAAUAGACAAUCUCCUUGGAUAGGAAAACUUGCCAUAAUAAGAUCCACCCAUGCCAGAGAUUCAUCUUCUUUUGUAAGCAUGUCUUGUCUCUGUUUCAGUAUUUGUUGGUAGUUCAAGACCUUUUCUGCCAAAUGUUAUGAGAUUCAAAUAGAAACUGCCAAAAGCAAUGUUUGACAUGAGCCUAAAAGGACAUGUUGGAAACAUGGUCCUCCAUCUUUCCAUGGCAGAUGUUUAUUUUAAGGAAAGGGAAUAUAGAAUCAUUCAAGAGUUAUGCAUUUUAUUACAAAAUGCAUGUGUAUUUUUAAAUACUGAAAACUUAUGAGAGCCCAACAAACAAAGGUAAAAAUUCUUUAGUAAAGAAUUUACCAUCCAGAAAAAGAUAUGUAUGUACAGAUGACUUAUGUUAUUUGUGGCCUUAGCAUAAUUGCCUGGGAUGGGACACAAUCAUUUUGUAAGUGACCUGCGGUCUGGGCACAGGUGAGUGGAGAUGGAGAGAGUUGAGUGCACUGUGAGGGGUGCCAGGGACAUUUUACCAGGUCCCACAGCAGCCUCCUGGAGGGUGCAUUGUAAGCUGAUGCUGGAGGAGGCCUAUGGAUCAUUCAGGCACCGGGAGAAAGAUCAGGGAGGGGAAAGGUGUCCCAGGUAACAGGAACAGAAUGAACAAGGCUCCAUGGGUGAGAAGGCAGCAGGCCACAUAGACAUAGCUGUAGCACCUCUGGCACCCUGGCUGCAGUGGGCAAUCCACAUAGUGAGUAAGAAGAGAUCUGAUUACAAAGUACCCAGCCUGCCAUGUGAACAAGAUGGAAAUUUCUCAUUUUUGUGUUUUGUUUUCCCUGCUUAAUGGUCUCUCCUCAGUUGUGAUCACAGCACAAACACUUAUUCAGAACAAGUGUUUGCAAGCCCAUGUGAGGUGCCAGAAACUGUGAACUCACAUGUAGUCAUCUAUGUGUCUGCACAGUGAGCUGGUGUGGCAGGAGUCUGGGGAGCUAGAGGAGAGGUAGAAGCUAUAAAUAUCAUGUCCCCUGUUUCCAUACAGUUCUUUUAAUAAUCAUCUGAAACAUCUCUCUAAUAAUCUAACCGAAGUUUUUGUAAAUAGGG